CAAACAAAUCGAAAUGUCACUUUUCCGAGUAUUUUGCAUAAGUAUUAAACAAUUUUCAGAUAUCUAGAUUUAGUAAGUUUUGUUAUAGUUAUUAUAGAAAUCAGAAUCAUCAGGAAUGUCGGGAGUAAAAAUAGAAAGAAGAAAAUUGCCAAAACUUAUGGCCUGCAUGACAAAACAAAGUUUAGAAAACUUGCGGAACAAAGCUUUGUUUAGUUUGGAUGUGCUCGAUGCGAAGGGAAUCCGGAGACGAAAACAACCCUUACAUGAAUGUUUGGUUCUGGAGCUCAAGGAAGCUGGCUAUUCGGAGUCAGCGGACUACCUACAAGACUUACUUUAUGAUAAUAUGCAAUUACUAGCGGCAGACGACAUAGGUAUCGUUGUUGACUUGCGUAAGAGAGAAGAUUAUUUGGAGGAUAUCGCCGUAGGCCUUAUGAAGGCAGAAAAACAUAGAGAUAGAGGGGAAACGAAGCAAGAAGCGUUGCAGCUGUUAAGUUUAGCCUUGCAAUACGCUGAAAUGGGAAAGGGAAUUCUUUGGCUAGCUGAAAAAUUCUAUUUGGCAUCUAUAGCCGUGGCCAGCCAGUUUUUACUAGACGGAGGUCGACAAAAGGGAUGUUGUAAAUACCAUUAUGGAAAAUUUCUGCUCGACAAAUUUCCUGGGGCAGAUCCUGAAGAAUCGUUCCUGAUAUUGACUGAAGUUAGAGAUAGUGCAAUAGGGAAGAGUUGGUAUCUUCAUGAACCAAACGCAGAUGGCGAGGUAUUUCCUAAAGAAACCCUAUUUGGCGCCUCGGCUAUACAGUUACAUCGCGUUUUGCUAGAUAAAGCUAGAGCCAUUAGAAAGAAAGACACGGGAAAAGCGGAAAGGUUGGCCAGACUGGCUGAGAGGAGAGCCAAGGACGCCAAUGAAACUGGGAAGACAGCGGAAGCAAUACUAGAGAUUGGUGUAUGUCAAUUAGCUAUGAAUAAUUUAAAUAACGCUCAGAAGACAUUUGAGAGAGCAUUUAAAAUAUACACAGAUAGCAACAACAUUGAAGGUUUGUGUGACACUAGAAUGCACCUAGCUGCUGUUAUGCAGAGGUUAAAAGACCAUGAGAUGGCUGCGAAAUUACUAACAGAGAUGGGUGCUCUUGCGAUGGAGCACCAGCUGCGAAGACACCUGGGCCGAGCAUUGCACCUUCUGGGAGAACUACAUCUUCGGAGGGAGCGGCCUGAACUGGGCACGCAGCAUCUGGCCGAAGCGUUCGUAUGUUUUAUGGGGCUCUCAUGUGUUGGGGUAGAAUCCUCAGUGUCACAAUUUAAAUAUGAUAGUAAUGAUAGCGACGAUGGAGUUACAAGUAUUUACGAGAAGAAGAAAAACGAGAUUUUUGAGGAAGAAGCGGAGCAGUCGAGAUUGAUGAUGGCGAUUUCUGCGGGCCAAGAAAACAUGGCGUCGUAUUUCCAACUCCUGAAGGAGGCAGGUGAAUGUGCCGUGGCCCAGAUGAAGACGAUAGAGUGGAAACUCGCCCACGCCGGCUGGUGGAUCAAGCGGCAGCACCACGACUUCUUGCCUUGUCUGUGUCCUACUCACCAACGAACACCUCUGGACAUUUUAAGAAUCAAAUUAAAAUUGAAAGAGGAUAAUGCUAGCAAAUUUGACCAAGGCUCUGUUAGCAAAAUAAUAGAGCUCACUCGAAUGGACAAAGUCGAGGAUAUUCAAACGCUGCGAAGUAGUCACAGACAAAUCAAUAAAAAAUAGUAAAAUCAUUUCGUUAUACUCGUAACUCCUGAUAGUGACCGAAGAAAUAAUCAUUUUCUUACCCAAUUAAAUCUUAAGGGUGUAAUCCUUGGGCUCCCGUCCUGGAUGACCAUGAGGUUUCAAUUAAAAUUAUUAGAGGAACUGGGCAGCAAGGCCAUGUUAGGCUCUAUCAGCAGACUCAUGGAGCAUACACCAUUGGAAACCGUUAACGAUAUCCAAAAGCUGCGGAGUAGUCAAAUCAAAAAAUAAUAAAU